GGAGUUGUGGCUCAGUGCUAGAGUGCUUGCCUAGCAUGCACAAGGUGCUGAGUUUGAUCCUCAGUACCA
rnacentral:tRNA from 1 species